UUUUUUUUUUUUUUUUUUUUUUUUUUUUUUUUUUUCGGAA
rnacentral:ribozyme from 1 species